UGUAGUGUUGCCUCUGUUUUCUGUUCAUUUUCAUUCUUUUGGAUUUUUCAUGUUACUACAUAAUUUAUUAUGGUCUUACUAGAUGGUAAUUUUCAGUAAUACAAACUUCAAACCUAGAAAGGCUAUAUGAAUUUGGACAAAUUCUGAUGACUUGCCAAAGGGAGAUCAGUGAGCAGGCAAGAAGAAAAGAAGAAUAUGCUGAAUUUUUGGGGUGGAUUGGCCCCAUUUGUACCAAGUUGGUGAGAAUAAGCAUGUGUAAGAAACUCGUCUUUUAACUUUUCUUAGUACCUAAAGAAAAAUAAUUAUCAAGAAUCUUAUCUUUGAAGCUGGAACCAGAGAUAAUCGCUGGAGAGAAGGUGUGCAUAUUAAAAAAAGAAUCCCAUUUUCUUUUGGAAGGAUCAUGAAAAUAGAGAAGUUUGGAAAGAAAAUGGGGAGAAGAUAUGAGAUUCUGAAUAUUUCCUACCAACUCUCGCUUGAAGUCUCCUUAUUUUCCACCUCUCACAUCUAUAAAAGCCCCAUGCACAUGAGAGUCAAUGCAGAAAACAAGCCUGUCAUAACUUUCAAUUGCUAGAAUUCUGAUUUUCUUCCAAACUGUUGCUAGUUUCUUGUUCCAGAUAUGGCCUAUCGUCAAUUCUCAGCUUUUAUGUUACCAUUUUUCUUGAUCGGUGUGUCAUUCCUGAACAGCCAGGAAAUUCUGGUGGAUGCUCGACAGCUUCUGGAAAUAACUCUACCGGAGAUUCCUGAAUUGCCGGAGAUACCAUCUUUUCCUAAAGUUGAACUGCCACCAUUACCUGAAUUGCCUGAACUUCCAGAGCUUGAAGUGCCAGAACUGCCUGAUUUGCUUGACAUCCCUGAUUUGCCUGACCUUGCGAAGCCCACAUUAGCUGCCAAGCCAACUAUUUCAAAGGACAUGAACCCUUUUCAUUCAACCACCAGUCCUUAAAUGAUCGUACCUUCUCAUAUUUCUGCAGUGGAUUUCAUGGUGAACUUCAUCCAAUGCUUCUUGUUUCUAUAUAUGAUGUGCUCUUUGGUGUAGGAGUUCUGCACCUUGUUGCUUGAGCUGAUGGUUUCUGUAAUUUUUUAUUUACUGGUUCCAAUCUGAAUGUGUUUAUAGGAAAGAUUCUUGUGUUUUCUACUAUUUUCCAGUUACUGUGAUGCAUCCAUACUCUAUUGGUUGUUUAGUUUUAUGAUGAAUUAGUGACGGAAUUUCUUGUCCAGUAUAUGCAAAUCUGCCUUAAUGUUACUAAAGACACUAUUUUGUUUUCUUCAAUAUAAUAGAAGCUUAAAGGGCAAGGAAAUGAGUACUUAAAGAGUGUAACAAUGUUCAGUAUUUCCUCGCAAAUUACUAAGAAAUAUAAAUAAA
rnacentral:lncRNA from 1 species